UCUAGCAAUGGCUUUCGCAAAUCUGUGCAAAGUACUCAUCAGUGACAGCCUGGACCCCUGCUGCCGGAAGAUCCUGCAAGAUGGAGGGCUGCAGGUGGUGGAGAAGCAGAACUUGAGCAAGGAGGAGCUGAUAGCUGAACUCCAGGACUGUGAAGGCCUUAUCAUCUGGUCAGCUACUAAGGUCACUGUUGAUGUCAUCAACACAGCAGAGAAGCUCCAGGUGGUAGGCAGGGCUGGUACAGGCGUGGACAAUGUGGAUCUGGAGGCUGCCACAAGGAAGGGCAUCCUAGUCAUCAACACCCCAAACGGAAACAGCCUCAGUGCUGCAGAGCUCACCUGUGGGAUGAUCAUGUGCCUGGCCAGGCAGAUUCCCCAGGCGACGGCUUCGAUGAAAGAUGGCAAAUGGGACCGGAAGAAGUUCACGGGGACAGAACUGAAUGGGAAGACAUUGGGAAUUCUUGGCCUUGGCAGAAUCUGAAGAGAGGUGGCCACCCGAAUGCAGUCCUUUGGAAUGAAGACUGUAGGCUCUAACCCCAUCAUCUCUCCUGAAGUUGUGGCCUCCUUCGGUGUUCAGCAGUUGCCGCUGGAGGAGAUCUGGCCUCUCUGUGACUUCAUCACUGUCCAUACCCCACUCCUGCCCUCCACCGCAGGCUUGCUGAAUGACAGCACCUUUGCUCAGUGCAAGAAAGGCGUGCGAGUAGUGAACUGUGCUCGAGGAGGCAUCGUGGAUGAAGGUGCCCUGCUGCGUGCCUUGCAGUCUGGUCAGUGUGCUGGGGCUGCACUGGAUGUGUUUACAGAAGAGCCACCACGGGACCGGGCCUUAGUGGACCACGAGAACAUCAUCAGCUGUCCCCACCUGGGUGCCAGCACUAAGAAAACCCAGAGUCAGCCUCCUGACUGUGACCCUGACAGGUGCCCCCUACCAAGCUGUGGGCCUGGUCCAGGGCACCACACCAAUGCUGCAGGUGCUCAACGGAGCCAUCUUCAGACCAGAGGUGCCUGCUACACAGGGGCCAACCCCUGCUCAUGUUCCGGGCUCAGCCCUCCAACCCUAUGA